rnacentral:rRNA from 1 species
GUGUCGUGAGAUGUUGGGUCAAGUCCCGCAACGAGCGCAACCCCUGCCCCUAGUAGCCAGCACGUAAUGGUGGGCACUCUAGGGGGACUGCCGGGGACAACCCGGAGGAGGGCGGGGACGACGUCAAAUCAUCAUGCCCCUUAUGGCCAGGGCUACACACGUGCUACAAUGGCGUGCACAGAGGGAAGCAAAGCGGCGACGCCAAGCAAAGCCCGGAAAGCACGCCUCAGUUCGGAUUGCAGCCUGCAACUCGGCUGCAUGAAGCCGGAAUCGCUAGUAAUCGCGGAUCAGAACGCCGCGGUGAAUACGUUCCCGGGUCUUGUACACACCGCCCGUCACACCAUGGGAGUCGGGAAUGCCCGAAGUCGGUGCCCCAACCGCAAGGAGGGAGCCGCCGAAGGCAGGCCCGGCGACUGGGGUGAAGUCGUAACAAGGUAGCCGUAUCGGAAGGUGCGGUUGGAUCACCUC